rnacentral:rRNA from 1 species
AUUGAACGCUGGCGGCAUGCCUAACACAUGCAAGUCGAGCGGAACGGCGGACGGGUGAGUAAUGCCUAGAAAUCUGCCUGGUAGUGGGGGAUAACGUCCGGAAACGGGCGCUAAUACCACAUACUAUCAGACGAGCCUCGGUCGGAUUAGCUAGUUGGUGGGGUAAAGGCCUACCAAGGCGAAGAUCCGUAACUGGUCUGCGAGGCUGAUCAGUCAAAUUGUAAGUGAUACACGGUACAUACUCGUACGGGAGGCAGCAGGGUGGAAGAUGGGACAAGGGGCGAAAGCCUGAACCAGACAUGCAGAUUGUGUGAAGAAGGUCUUCGGAUUGUAAAGCAUUUUAAGUUGGGAGGCGUUACCAACAGAAUAAGCACCGGCUAACUUCGUGCCAGCAGCCGCGGUAAUAG